rnacentral:rRNA from 1 species
AGUAACGCGUGAGGAACCUGCCUUUCAGAGGGGGACAACAGUUGGAAACGACUGCUAAUACCGCAUAACACAUAGGUGUCGCAUGGCAUUUAUGUCAAAGAUUUAUCGCUGAAAGAUGGCCUCGCGUCUGAUUAGCUAGUUGGUGAGGUAACGGCUCACCAAGGCGACGACCAGUAGCCGGACUGAGAGGUUGGCCGGCCACAUUGGGACUGAGAUACGGCCCAGACUCCUACGGGAGGCAGCAG